CCUACGGGUGGCAGCAGUAGGGAAUAUUGCUCAAUGGGGGAAACCCUGAAGCAGCAACGCCGCGUGGAGGAUGAAGGUUUUCGGAUUGUAAACUCCUUUUGUUAGAGAAGAUAAUGACGGUAUCUAACGAAUCAGCACCGGCUAACUCCGUGCCAGCAGCCGCGGUAAUACGGAGGGUGCAAGCGUUACUCGGAAUCACUGGGCGGAAAGAGCGCGUAGGCGGGAUUGCAAGUCAGAUGGGAAAUCCUAGGGCUUAACCAUAGAACUGCAUUUGAAAAUGUUAUUCUUGAGUGUGGGAGAGGUAGGUGGAAUGCUUGGUGUAGGGGUGAAAUCCGUAGAGAUCAAGAGGAAUACUCAUUGCGAAGGCGGCCUUCUGGAACAUAACUGACGCUGAUGCGCGAAAGCGUGGGGAGCAAAAAGGAUUAGAUACCCGAGUAGUC
rnacentral:rRNA from 1 species